rnacentral:rRNA from 1 species
UACGUAGGGAGCAAGCGUUGUCCGGAAUUACUGGGCGUAAAGGGCGCGUAGGCGGUCUUGUAAGUCUUGUGUGAAAUCCCUCGGCUUAACUGAGGAACUGCACGGGAUACUGCGAGACUUGAGAUCGGGAGAGGGAAGCGGAAUUCCGGGUGUAGCGGUGAAAUGCGUAGAUAUCCGGAGGAACACCGGUGGCGAAGGCGGCUUCCUGGACCGACACUGACGCUGAGGCGCGAAAGCUAGGGGAGCAAACGGG